AAAGGUGGCAGCCGUGAUGGGUGAGAGCAGGUAGCUGCCGUCCACCGCAGGGCUGGCCACUCAGCAAGGCCACCCCCUGCAUGGGAGCUGCUGCGUUUUGAGAACUUUCACGCAGUUCCUCGGAGCGUCACAGGAUAGGCAAGGCUGGCAGGUGUGACCACCAUGUGUCCCUUUCAUCCGAGAGGCUGGGGCCUUGGCCUGGCUCUCACUGGCCUCCAACCGCUGUCCUUGCCCUGGGGCUGUCCCGGGUCCCUGGCCAGCCCUUCUCAGUGGGGUGAGCCUGUGCCAAGCCCCGUCCCCCAUGUACUGGGGCUGGUGAGUCAAACUUCAGGUUGCCCAGGCCAGGAAGGACUAGGGGAAGGCCAGCCUGCACACUUGCUGCAGCUAUAGCUGGUGGGGGAGGGACAGAAGGAGCCCCAGGGUGGGGUAGGGAUGUGGGGUGAAGAGGGGACUCCCUGGUUUUCCUAGCCGCCAGGGCUGUAGGUUCCCAAGCAGCCACAGCCCAGCCCAGAAGUGCAGGCACCACCCUGCUGGGGCACCCACCGCCCACGGCAAACUCCGAGCCCCAGGCUGAGUCACUCUUCCUGGGGGGCUGGGUGGGGAGAGCCCCCAGUGCCUAUGCAAAGCAGUCCUUGGCUUCCGGGAACCUCGGAAGGGCUGGGCCAGCUUGGCCCAUAGGACAGGCCAGGGCCCACGUGGCACAAGCAGGGCAUGAGCAGCAGGAAGAACGAGGUGGGAACAGCUCCCACUCCCCAGGGCUCUCAUCCCAGCGGAGAGACGCACGGAGGCCGGGCACAGGACUGGGAGGUCAAAUCUGCCAGGGUGGCCCAGCGCAGCAGGCCAGGUAGCACUGCGGGGCAGGGCCUUGUCCCCCAGGCACCCAGGGCCUGAUGGGACCCACCGGGGUGCCCAGAAAGUGUGUGUCCAGUAAGUCGGGGCAGAGGCUGGGCCCACCCUAAGUGAAGGAGGAGGGGACGUGGUGUCUGCGGCUCUCCGUGUGUCUGUGCGUGAUUAAUGGAGCAUGCAUGAGCUAACCGAGCAGCUGGUGUGGGGCCUGGACCCUGCUGAGGGAGGGGAGGCCCAAGGCCUGGGCCCCAACCCUGUAUGGAGGCCAGGGCUGGGGUGAGACUCAUUGUGGGGUGUCAGCAGGCUCCGGGGAGCCACUAAAGCCCAUGGGGUGCACUCAGUACCUGGGAGUCUGGGACCCAGACCAGCCCUUCCAGGGAAAACCACCAAAUAAGGGCAUAAGAUAGGAAAAGCAUCACAAAAACAAGCAAAAGCAGCAGGCAAGACGGUAAAGGAGGACCAGGUCCAGGCCAGGGAAGGUGAGUGAGCCCAAGGAGAGGGCGCUCUGAAAGGUGCCCGGCCCCGAAGCUCCUCCCUCUGAGACUUUGCCACCAGGGCCACCUGGAGCUCUGGGUCCCAAGGCCCUGGAGUGUGGGGACAGAAGACACCCCAUGCCCCCAACAAUAUGCAGCCCCAAACAGCUGGGUGCAAGGGUGAAUCAAAAACAGCAGGGUAUGGUGCACACCUGUGGUCCCAGCUACUCAGGAGGCUGAAGUAGGAGGAUCGCUUGAGCCUGAGAGUUGGAGGCUGCAGUUGGAGGCUGUGACUGCACCACUGCACUCCAGCCUGGGUGACAGAGUGAGAUCCUGUCUCAGAAAAAAAAAAAAAGAAAGAAAAAAGAUCAAAUAAUUUUAUUAAAAAGUAGAACUUCUAAAAAUGAAAACUUUAAGAAAUUAAAACUUCAAUGGGUUGAUAGCAUUCUGAAAUGAGCUGGAAGACAGGCGAGGAGAUAUUUUUAGAAUGCAGCACAGGCAGCUAAAUAAAUCAAACAAAGAAGUGGGAGACUAAAAGAUACCGGGAGAGAGAGAAGGCUUAGCAAACAUUUAGUUUGUAUUCCAAAGGGAAAGAGACAGAACGGGGUGGAGGCAAUAUUUAAAGACAUAAUGGCUGAGAGAGUCCCAUAAUUGAAUAAUGACACCAGCGCACACAUCAAAGACAUUCAAAUUCCAGGUUGAAUAAGUAAAAAUCAAACUGAACACUCAAAAGCUGGCAGAUAGAACUGACAGCUCCCCUUGGAGAGUGAUGGCUGACUCUGCUGAUUUUCCCAGAGCCACAGCAAAGACAAGAUGGUGGAAAGACGUAUUCAAUGUUCGGCGGGAGAGUGGCUGCAACCUGUACUCCUGCUGCAGAGAAUCUGACGCUGUCAUGAACCUGUGUGGAAAAGAUAUUGACAGACCAAAAGCUCAUCCGAACGUCCCAUCACUGGCACCUUCCUAAGGGACACUGUCUUGAGCAGAAAGAAAGUGGUUCAGAAUGAACAUGGUUGGAAGUCUGAGACUCAGGAAGAGUGAAGGGCAAAGAGGAAUGUAUGUAGUAAAUCUAAAAACCACUGGCUGUGCAAGCGAUGAUGAUAAUCAUGCCCAGUAGACUGUUAAAAACAUUAUUAAACAGGCUGACAGCAAUAGCAGGAAGUCAGAAGGGAGCACGGGACUUCACAUUUUCCAGGCUUCAAAGUCGAUAUAUUGCCAGGUGGGUAUAAGUGUGACUUCCUUCACUUUAGAUUUUGAUAAGUUUAACGUGCAAUGAGUAAUUUGUAGGCAGUGAGUAAAACACCAGAAACAGAGUCUGUAACCUCCAAACCAGAAGAAGGAAAAACCAAAAUGAGAGAAGAAGCGUCAAUGAAAACUAAGGCAAGAACAGAGAGAAAAAGGAACAUAGAAUAGAUGAGAUCAACAAAAGUUAAAUGAAAUCAAAUGGUAGGUACUGUGGUCAUCAGGCUCCAAGGCAGCCCCCAGUGAUCCUCACCCCCAGGCAAUCACGCAUGUGUGCUCCCCUCCUGUCUGGAUCAGGAUUGAGGUGCAUGGCCAGUAGAAUAUAGGGGCAGCAGGGGUAUGUGAUGUCUUGGGUGAGGUCAUAAAGACCUCAUGAAUCUAGUGGUCUCUCUUGAAUCACUCACUGGAGGAAGCCAGCUGCCAUGUUGUGAGGACACUCAGCCCUGUGGAAGGUCCACGUGGGAGGGACUGAUGGGGGGUGCACCAUCAGGGAGGUGGGUCCCCAGCUCCAGGCAAACCUUCAGAUGAGGCUGCCUCAGUUCACACCGGGACUGAGCUUCAGAAGCAUCCCUGAAGCAGCACCAUGCCGAGGAGCCCUUCUCGGACUCCUGAGCCACAGAAAAUGUGGAGGAUAAAUGUUUGCUUUGCCACAGCUCUGCUUUGCAGUGAUUUCUUAUGCAGAAUCAAUCACCACAGAAUCCAUGUACAUGAUUACAUUAAACGUAAAUGUUACAUGCACUGGUUAAAAGACACUGGCAGUCCGGAAUUUUAUGCAGAGAAAUAUGUAAAACAUAAGCUUAUAUAAUGAUGAAAGAAAAAACAUACCAGGAAAAUCCUCACCAAAAUAAAAUUAGUAACAAUCUGAAAACUCUAAAGCAAGAACUGACAGAAUUACAUGCAUCUUAUCAUACUUUUCUUAGUAACUGAUAAGCAAACUAAGAAAAUGAAAUAUGUCAACAACACAAUAAACAAAUCUGGCCCAACUCAUGAUACUGAACAAUUUCAGAAUUACAUAUUAUUUGCACCAAGAAAUAUUUACAAAAAUUGAUGACCAAAAGCAACUGACAAUCAUCUAAUGACUCACAAUCCUCCAUCUGACAUGUACUCCUCCAUCUGACAUGCACUCCUCCAUCUGACGUGCACUCCUCCAUCUGAUGUGCACUCCUCCAUCUGACGUGCACUCCUCCAUCUGACGUGCACACCUCCAUCUAACGUGCCCUCCUCCAUCUGAUGACGUGCACUCCUCCAUCUGACGUGCAUUCCUCCAUCUGACAAUGUGUACUCCUCCAUCUGACGUGCACUACUCCAUCUGACGAAAUGCACUCCUCCAUCAGAUGAUGUGUACUCCUCCAUCUGACAUGCACUCCUCCAUCUGACAACAUGCACUCCUCCAUCUGAUGAUGUGUACUCCUCCAUCUGACAUGCACUCCUCCAUCUGACAACGUGCACUCCUCCAUUUGACGUGAACUCCUCCAUCUAACGACGUGUACCCCUCCAUCUGACAACGUGCACUCCUCCAUCUGACAACAUGCACUCCUCCAUCUGACAACGUGCACUCCUCCAUCUGACCUGCACUCCUCCAUCUGAUGAUGUGCACUCCUCCAUCUGAUGUGCACUCUUCCAUCUGACAUUCACUCCUCCAUCUGAUGAUGUGUACUCCUCCAUCUGAUGUGCACUCCUCCAUCUGACGUGCACUCCUCCAUCUGAUGUGUACUCCUCCAUCUGACGUGCACUCCUCCAUCUGACGACAUGUACUCCUCCAUCUGACAAUGUGCACUCCUCCAUCUGAUGUGCACUCCUCCAUCUGACGAUGUGUACUCCUCCAUCUGAUGUGCACUCCUCCAUCUGAUAUGCACUCCUCCAUCUGACAUGCACUCCUCCAUCUGAUGACGUGCACUCCUCCAUCUGAUGUGCACUCCUCCAUCUGAUGAUGUGUACUCCUCCAUCUGACGUGCACUCCUCCAUGUGACGACGUGCACUCCUCCAUCUGACAUGCACUCCUCCAUCUGAUGACGUGCACUCCUCCAUCUGACGUGCACUCCUCCAUCUGAUGUGCACUCCUCCAUCUGAUGAUGUGUACUCCUCCAUCUGAUGUGCACUCCUCCAUCUGACGACGUGCACUCCUCCAUCUGACAUGCACUCCUCCAUCUGAUGAUGUGCACUCCUCCAUCUGACGACGUGCACUCCUCCAUCUGACAUGCACUCCUCCAUCUGAUGAUGUGCACUCCUCCAUCUGACGUGCACUCCUCCAUCUGAUGUGCACUCCUCCAUCUGACGUGCACUCCUCCAUCUGACGACGUGCACUCCUCCAUCUGACAUGCACUCCUCCAUCUGACGACGUGCACUCCUCCAUCUGAUAUGCACUCCUCCAUCUGAUGACAUGCACUUCUCCAUCUGACGUGCACUCCUCCAUCUGAUGAUGUGUACUCCUCCACCUGACAUGCAGUCCUCCAUCUGACGUGCACUCCUCCAUCUGACGACGUGCACUCCUCCAUCUGACGUGCACUCCUCCAUCUGAUGAUGUGCGCUCCUUCAUCUGACAUGCACUCCUCCAUCUGAUGAUGUGUACUCCUCCAUCUGACGACAUGCACUCCUCCAUCUGACGUGCACUCCUCCAUCUGACGAUGUGCACUCCUCCAUCUGACAUGCACUCCUCCAUCUGAUGACGUGCACUCCUCCAUCUGAUGAUGUGCACUCCUCCAUCUGACGACGUGCACUCCUACAUCUGACAUGCACUCCUCCUUCUGACAAUGUGUACUCCUCCGUCUGAUGUGCACUCCUCCAUCUGACAAUGUGCACUCCUCCAUCUGAUGCACACUCCUCCGACGACGUGCACUCCUCCAUCUGACAAUGUGUACUCCUCCAUCUGAUGAUGUGUACUACUCCAUCUGACAAUGUGUACUCCUCCAUCUGACAUGCACUCCUCCAUCUGACAAUGUGUACUCCUCCAUCUGAUGAUGUGUACUCCUCCAUCUGACGUGUACUCCUCCAUCUGACGUGCACUCCUCCAUCUGACAAUGUGUACUCCUCCAUCUGACAUGCAUUCCUCCAUCUGACAAUGUGCACUCCUCCAUCUGAUGUGCACGCCUCCAUUUGACAAUGUGUACUCCUCCAUCUGAUGCGCAUUCCUCCAUCUGACGACGUGCACUCCUCCAUCUGACGAUGUGUUUUGAUGAAAACCCAGCAUCCCCUGUCACAGUUAAGAAACUCCUGCCCACUCUUAACUCUGCAGGUCCAUGUAGGUGUGGAGCAGCAAGAAUAAGACACAAAAGGCAUAAAGAUCAUAAGGGAAGAAGUGAAACGGAAUUGAUUUGCAGGUGAUGUGACUUUGUCGAAAACCCAAAGGCAUCUACAAGUUGCCAGAAUCAAGAGGUGAAUUUACCAACAAGUUGGGACACAGUGUCCAUGUACAAAAUCAGGGCAUGUCCCACAUUUUAGCAACAAACCAGAACCAAGAGGUGAAUUUACCAACACGUCAGGACAGAGUGUCCAUGUACAAAAUCAGGGCAUGUCCCACAUUUUAGCAACAAACCAGAACCAAGAGGUGAAUUUACCAACACGUCAGGACACAGUGUCCAUGUACAAAACCAGGGCAUUUCGCACAUUUUAGCAACAAACAAUUGGAAAAUAAAAUUUCAAAUACUAUUGAUAAAAUUAUCAAAAUUUAUUUGUAAAAUAUACUUAUAAAAGUAUCAAAAAUCCAUCAAAUACCUAGGAAUAAAUGUAAUGAAAACUAUGCAAUAAUAUUGCUUGGAGAAACUGAAAAAAACCUAAAUAAACGUUGAGAUACAUCAUGUGCAGGGAUCAGAAGCCUCAAUAUUGUAGGAUAUCAAUUCUCCCCAAAAUGAUCUAUAGAUUUGACACAAUCUCAAUAAACAUCCCAG
rnacentral:lncRNA from 1 species